rnacentral:rRNA from 1 species
CCUACGGGAGGCAGCAGUGAGGAAUAUUGGUCAAUGGGCGCGAGCCUGAACCAGCCAAGUAGCGUGAAGGAUGACUGCCCUACGGGUUGUAAACUUCUUUUAUAAAGGAAUAAAGUGAGGCACGUGUGCCGGUUUGGAUGUACGUUAUGAAUAAGGAUCGGCUAACUCCGUGCCAGCAGCCGCGGUAAUACGGAGGAUCCGAGCGUUAUCCGGAUUUAUUGGGGUUAAAGGGAGCGUAGAGGGGUUGUUAAGUGCUUUGUGAAAGUUUGCGGCUCAACCGUAAAAUUGCAAUUGAUACUGGCAGUCUUGAGUACGGUUGACGUAGGCGGAAUUCGUUGUGUAGCGG